rnacentral:rRNA from 1 species
AAUCUUAGACAAUGGGGGCAACCCUGAUCUAGCCAUGCCGCGUGAGCGAUGAAGGCCUUAGGGUUGUAAAGCUCUUUCGCUGGGGAAGAUAAUGACGGUACCCAGUAAAGAAGCCCCGGCUAACUCCGUGCCAGCAGCCGCGGUAAUACGGAGGGGGCUAGCGUUGUUCGGAAUUACUGGGCGUAAAGCGCGCGUAGGCGGAUUGGAAAGUUGGGGGUGAAAUCCCGGGGCUCAACCCUGGAACUGCCUCCAAAACUAUCAGUCUUGAGUUCGAGAGAGGUGAGUGGAAUUGCGAGUGUAGAGGUGAAAUUCGUAGAUAUUCGCAGGAACACCAGUGGCGAAGGCGGCUCACUGGCUCGAUACUGACGCUGAGGUGCGAAAGUGUGGGGAGCAAACAGGAUUAGAUACCCUGGUAGUCCACACCGUAAACGAUGAAUGCCAGACGUCGGGCAGCAUGCUGUUCGGUGUCACACCUAACGGAUUAAGCAUUCCGCCUGGGGAGUACGGCCG